UACGAAGGGGCUAGCGUUGUUCGGAUUUACUGGGGCGUAAAGCGCACGUAGGGCGGAUCGAUCAGUCAGGGGUGAAAUCCCAGAGCUCAACUCUGGAACUGCCUUUGAUACUGUCGAUCUGGAGUAUGGAAGAGGUGAGUGGAAUUCGAGUGUAGAGGUGAAAUUCGUAGAUAUCGGAGGAACACCAGUGGCGAAGGCGGCUCACUGGGUCCAUU
rnacentral:rRNA from 1 species